GGGCCCGCACAAGCGGUGGAGCAUGUGGUUUAAUUCGAUGAUACGCGAGGAACCUUACCAGGGCUUAAAUGUAAGUUGCAUGAUUUAGAGAUAGAUCUUUCUUCGGACUACUUACAAGGUGCUGCAUGGUUGUCGUCAGCUCGUGCCGUGAGGUGUCAGGUUAAGUCCUAUAACGAGCGCAACCCCUGUUGUUAGUUGCCAGCGAUUCAAGUCGGGAACUCUAACAAGACUGCCAGUGCAAACUGUGAGGAAGGUGGGGAUGACGUCAAAUCAUCACGGCCCUUACGUCCUGGGCUACACACGUGCUACAAUGGUAGGUACAGAGAGCAGCCACUGCGUGAGCAGGAGCGAAUCUAUAAAACCUAUCACAGUUCGGAUCGGAGUCUGCAACUCGACUCCGUG
rnacentral:rRNA from 1 species